GUCAGCAGCCAUACCAUGUGCAGUUCAGACUAAUUAAUCCACCUGAAGGUUUGGGUUUGUCUAGGACUUGGAUAGGAGAUCAAUUAGGAAAGUUGGGUUGCUGCUGUAA
rnacentral:rRNA from 1 species